rnacentral:tRNA from 1 species
CUCCGCUUGGUGUAGUUGGUGUAAGUUUCGGUGUUCAACACUCAAAUUUAAUCAGUGUCUAAUUUAACAAAAGUUAUCACGUUCGACUGUAAAUCGAAAGGUCUCUAGUUCGAUUCUGGAAGCGGAGA